rnacentral:rRNA from 1 species
CUACGGAGGGUCCGAGCGUUAUCCGGAAUCAUUGGGUUUAAAGGGUGCGUAGGCGGGAAUCUAAGUCAGUGGUGAAAUCUUGCAGCUCAACUGUAAAAUUGCCAUUGAUACUGGAUUUCUUGAAUUAGUGUGAAGUGGUUAGAAUGUGUAGUGUAGCGGUGAAAUGCAUAGAUAUUACACAGAAUACCAAUUGCGAAGGCAGAUAACUAACACUAUAUUGACGCUGAGGGACGAAAGCGUGGGGAGCGAACAGGAUUAGAAACCCUGGUAGUCC